ACUAUGGAGGUAUGUCUGUGGGUUCAGAUUUUCUCCCUCGUCCCUGGGGUUUUACAUACAAAUCUGAGGCUUGGACUGGCCCCUUGCAGGUGGGAGGGCACAAGGGCAAGCCAGAAGGGGGCAUUCAGUCCCUGAAUACACCCACCCAGAGACAGUGGCUGCCCUGGGGGCUCAUGGCUGAUCCUGGUGUCUUUUCCCUAAAUCCUUCCUUUUGUCUAGGGACCCCUAUAAAUGUGAUGCUGCCAAGAACUCUUCUCCAGCUUUUGUUCAGCUCCAUCUUCCCUUGCCCCAAGGGACCAGCCUCCCUGCCUCCACUCUCCAUAGAGAAGCCUUCUUCAAAAGCAAAUCUGAGCAUGCGAAUGGCCUGGGACUUCCAAGGUACAACCAGGUACAGAGCUCUGCAGAGGCCUGGAAGGGAGAUGGUAAGGGAUGGCUCAGUCUGGGUUAGGCCCCUUUCUUAGUCUAGUGGGGCCAGGGGACUUUCUGUUUGCAAGUGCGGGUUGGUCCCUGCUGGUCCUGCUUCGGGAGACUCUUCUCCCUCAGAGAAUGUUACCACCAGGGACAACACCUAGGCCCCGUGCUUCUUUGACCACCCUGGGGGAGGACAGUGCUCCUUUCUGAACCCCUCCAGUGCCCACUCUGCUCCACGGGACAUGGUCCCACAAGGAUGCCUGUGGAAUGACUCCGGGGCAUCUGGAACGCAGCAGGGUCUGGGUAGCUUUGGCAGGGGGUGAAGGUAGAUCAUGUUUCUCUCACAAGUCCUCCAACUCCUUGGGACCCAGGAAUGGCAGGGCCUCUGAGAGUUGACAGGCUUAUUUUUAGUUUGGAUUCUAGCUCACCAGCCCAAUUGUUUUUCAGUUUUGCCUAAUUUGGGCCAGGUCUCGAUGGUGUCUCCUAGGACCCUGGUUUGGACCGGUGAAGGUCUGCAGGACACGAGCUCUCGGGGCAGAGAAGUCCCGCCAGCUUCCCGUCCCUGGGCAUUGGCAGAAUACAGCCUAUGCAGCCACCCUGGGGCCAGGACCAGCCGCUCCAGUUGGAGGAAGAAGGAACCUGGGCCUCCCAGCACUGAGCCUUUGAGCUGACCAUGGAGAGAGGCUGCCGGGAAGCCCAGCAUCAGAUGAGGGACAGAAGAUAGGCAAGAGGAGAGGAGCGUCGAGAAGGGUGAUAAAGAGGAGAGGAGAGGGUAUGUAUGGGUGGGGACUGUAUCCUCGCAUGUAUGUUGGGGCUGGAGCUGGUGGUACAGGAGGUCUGGGAGGAAAGGCAGUAGAGAGGGGGAAAUGCCUAAUGGCAGGGAGGCACAACUGCCCCUGAGCCCAGACCCCAGCCCCCCGGCCCUGUGAGCAGAGGCCUGGCGAGCAAACACCCAGCCCCUCCGUGACUCCCCGGUGGAGGAGCCCACAUUCCUGCCCAGCAAAGACCGCUUUAAUCAAGGCUCCAGAUCCUUCCUGCAGCCGCCCGGGGGGGACUGUAACGCUAAACACAUUAGUGUGUGAGAUUGAAAGGUAACACAUUCUCAUGGAAGCCCCCGGAACAAUGGGCCUCGGGUCUGGGUUUCAUUUGGAAGAA